rnacentral:tRNA from 1 species
AUUUUCUUAGUAUUAAUUUAGUACAAAUGAUUUCCACUCAUUAAGCCCCAGUUAAACCCCGGGAGAAAAUA